AGUGAACGCUGGCGGUAGGCCUAACACAUGCAAGUCGAACGGCAGCACAGUAAGAGUUUGCUCUUACGGGUGGCGAGUGGCGGACGGGUGAGGAAUACAUCGGAAUCCACUUUUUCGUGGGGGAUAACGUAGGGAAACUUAUGCUAAUACCGCAUACAACCUACGGGUGAAAGCAGUAGUUCUUGGCACUUUUCGCGAUUGAUUGAGCCGAUGCCGGAUUAGCUAGUUGGCGGGGUAACGGCCCACCAAGGCGACGAUGCGUAGCGGAGCUGAGAGGAUGAUCGGCCACACUGGAACUGAGACACGGUCCAGACUCCUACGGGAGGCAGCAGUAGGGAAUAUUCGGCAAUGGGCGAAAGCCUGAUCCAGCAAUACCGCGUGGGUGAUGAAGGCCUUCGGGUUGUAAAGCUCUGUUGUUAGGAAAGAAAAAAAGCGUAUGAAUACCCGCCUGUUCUGACGGUACCCAAAGAAUAAGCCCCGGCUAACUUCGUG
rnacentral:rRNA from 1 species